rnacentral:rRNA from 1 species
AACGAACGCUGGCGGCAUGCCUAACACAUGCAAGUCGAACGAGACCUUCGGGUCUAGUGGCGCACGGGUGCGUAACGCGUGGGAACCUGCCCUUAGGUUCGGACUAACUCCCCGAAAGGGGUGCUAAUACCGGUUAACGUCUUCGGACCAAAGAUUUAUCGCCUUUGGAUGGGCCCGCGUUGGAUUAGCUAGUUGGUAGGGUAAAAGCCUACCAAGGCGACGAUCCAUAGCUGGUCUGAGAGGAUGAUCAGCCACACUGGGACUGAGACACGGCCCAGACUCCUACGGGAGGCAGCAGUGGGGAAUAUUGGACAAUGGGCGAAAGCCUGAUCCAGCAAUGCCGCGUGAAUGAUGAAGGCCUUAGGGUUGUAAAGCUCUUUUACCCGGGAUGAUAAUGACAGUACCAGAAGAGUAAGCUCCGGCUAACUCCGUG